AACGAACGCUGGCGGCAGGCCUAAUACAUGCAAGUCGAACGCUCCGCAAGGAGAGUGGCAGACGGGUGAGUAACGCGUGGGAACCUUUCCAGUGGUACGGAAUAGCCCAGGGAAACUCGGGGUAAUACCGUAUAAGCCCUUACGGGGAAAGAUUUAUCGCCAUUGGGUGGGCCCGCGUCGGAUUAGCUAGUUGGUGGGGUAAUGGCCUACCAAGGCGACGAUCCGUAGCUGGUCUGAGAGGAUGANCAGCCACACUGGGACUGAGACACGGCCCAGACUCCUACGGGAGGCAGCAGUAGGGAAUAUUGGACAAUGGGCGCAAGCCUGAUCCAGCCAUGCCGCGUGAGUGACGAAGGCCUUAGGGUUGUAAAGCUCUUUUGGCGGGGAAGAUAAUGACGGUACCCGCAGAAUAAGCUCCGGCUAACUUCGUGCCAGCCGCCGCAGU
rnacentral:rRNA from 1 species